ensembl:lncRNA
GGACGAAGGGGGGGCCAAUUGGGGUAGGGAGACUGGACCGUCGCGCGAGCCCGAGAUCCCAGAAACCUUAGGGGCGAGAUCGCUAGGUCGGUUAGUGGAAAUUAAGCUUAUAUCGGGUGCGACGGGUAGACCAGCGGGGUACGGGGGUCAGAAUUCCUCGGAAAGCUUAAGUGCAGACCUCCGAGUCACGCGAGACCCCUUGCUUUUGAGUGUCGGGGUGGGCCCGAAAAUCUAACUGUGGAGAAAUUCUUCCCCCACAGACAAGUUUUGAGAAUCAGUGCCCUGGUCAAAACGGAUUUCAAGGCGGCCCUCACCCGCUAACGUAAGGGAGCUGCAGGAGAGGGCUCACCUGCCCAGGAAGCCUCGGGGGCCAAUUGAGCCACGGUUCUCUCGACCACUCGCUCGGUGCUUGGGAGAUGCGGGGAAGAGUGGCCCCGACCAGGAAGUGAAUCCAUGGCUUUCAUCAAGUUCUCUAAAUGAUGAAAAAGAUUAGAAAACACUACUUUAAGGCUUGGUAAAAAGUAAGAGAAACUGGAGAACAACAGCCUUAAGC